UUAUAGCUCAGUCAGUAGAGCGUGAGACUCUUAAUCUCAGGGUCAAAGGUUUGAGCCCCACCUUGCGGAAAAG